ACAGGACUUAUGAUUGACUAGGCCCCUGGGACAUUCCAGCAAGAAGCAGGAGAUGAAGAGUCCCACUGGAGUGACCAGCCAGAGAGGACAUCCAGUCUAGCACAGGUCGGGGUGGGUUGCAGUCACCUUGGGAAGGACCACAGUACUUCACCCAAGGACCUCGUGGUGACAACACAGAUUCCAGGCUCUCAGCUUUCCUUUGUAGUAAGUGAGGCUGCAACCCCAGGAGCAAGGAGGAGGAAAAGGAACAGAUUCUGAAGGUCAUACUCCGAGCCAGCAGCCAAAGAGAAUUAAUAUAGGUGCCUUAUCUGAAAGGCAUCUCUUAGCUCACAGAAUCCACUGGAUGCUGGGAAGCCAGACUGGCACAGACAAGCCAAGGAAGCAAGGUGCAGCCAAAGCUUGCUCACAGCAUGACCGGCGUGACGCCCAGACGUUUGUCUCUGGAUUCGCUCCCAGAGCUUCCCCUACAGGGACUUCCGUCCCCUGCCACCGGACAACUGCCCUUUGACAAUGGGCUUCCACCUUCCCUGCAGUUGCCCCACUGACUCUGCCUGACCCCGUGCCUUCAUUCACUCCACAGGAAAUCACAUCCUUAGAUGCCCCUUGUGGCUUUCCUCCAGGGUGGCCCCAGCUCUGUCCACCAGGCAAGGAGUUGGCUUGUGAUGUGGUUUGGCUGUGUCCCCACCCAAAUCUCAUCUUGAGUUGUAGCUCCCGUAGUUCCCACAUGUCAUGGGAGGGACCUUGUGGGAGAUCAUUGAAUCAUGGGCGUGGUUUCCUCUAUUUUGUUCUCGUGGUAGUGAAUAAGUCUCAUGAGAUCUGACGGUUUUAUGAGAGGUUUCCCCUUUUGCUUGGUUCUCAUUCUGUCUCUUGCCUGCUGCCAUGUAAGAUGUGCCUUUUGCCUUCUGCCAUGAUUGUGAGGCCUGCCCAGCAAUGUGGAACUGUGAGUCUAUUCAACCUUUUUUAAAUAAAUUAUCCAGUGUUGGGUAUGUCUUUACCAGCAGCAUGAAAAUGGACUAAUACAGCUUGCCUUCCCCUGUGGCCUCACCUUCCUCUGCAGAGCUCAGACCCCCACCUGCUGUCUAUUUGGGAUUCCAAAAACAGUAAGGCAUCCAGGUGCUUUGGAAUCAAGCAGCCACUCCACCAGGUGGUCUCACUUCACUCUGUCCUCGUGUCAUCAAUGUCAUUCGUUUUCUACAAUCUAAUCUUUUAAAGGCUUCUGUGUACAGUUGAAGCAUGUAGGUUGUUUCUAAUAUAUUCUAUUUUAAACAACACUGCAGUGAACAUCUGUCUAGUUAAAUCUUUGGGCACAUCCAUGAUUAUUUUCUUAAGAUAAACUUCUCAAAGUUGAACUCCAGCACGGAUGGUGUGACAGCACAUCAAGGCUCUUGUUGGACAAGACUCAGGGCAAACCCCCGUGUCAGUGACAUGACAAGAUGCAGGGCAAACCCCACGUCAGUGACAUGACACGGCAGUCAACAUUCUUGUUGCCAGAUACAUUCAUAUGAGAAGUGUACAUUUGCACAAUCACACACAGAGGCAAAAGGUUUUUGAAAGCUGGCAUUAAAUACUGUGUUUCUCAUGACUACGUCUUUUCUCAGGUUCUGUGUUUUUUUUUUGGUGGGGGGCAUAGCAUGUAGGGAAUUGAAAUAGUAAUAUCACAGACUCCAGCACUGGCAUCAAGAAAGAACAUUAUUUCAGUGAUAAAUAUGUAAUGUUCAAACUUUCCUUACGUGCGGCAAAUGUGUUUGCCUGCCCUUUCGCGGCUCUUCGAGUUAGUGUUGGAAACGUGUCCAAAUAUGAUUGGUCACAUCUUUGGUUAGCAUUUCGGUGUGGAAUAGUACCGUUUGAAUGCUACCCUUUCCGUGUAUCUGCAGGUGUGCACAUGCAUGUAUAUGUAUGUACAAAUAGCAGACUAUUUCUGUGAUGAAUAUGUAAUGUUCAAACUUUUCUUACGUGCGGCAAAUGUGUUUGCCUGCCCUUUCGCGGCUCUUCGAGUUACUGUUGUAAAUAUGUGUCCAAAUAUGAUUGACCACGUCUUUGGUUAGCAUUGCAGUGUGGAAUAGUACCGCUUGAAUGCUAUCCUUUCCGUGUAUCUGCAGGUGUGCACAUGCAUGUAUAUGUACAAAUAGCAGACAGAUUCAAGUUUCAGUACAGCCAAUCCCAACUAGAAGACCUCGGAUCCAUAAUGAGAUGCAUGACAAAUAGAAGUCAUAUACCCACAGUACACAUGCUGGAGUGUCCAAGCAUUCAUGCAAUUCUUUUCUUUUCUCUUCUUUCUCUUUUUUUUUUUUUUCUUGAGACAGAGUUUCACUCUUGUUGCUCAGGCUGGAGUGCAAUGGCGUGAUCUCAGCUCACUGCAACCUCUGCCUCCCGGGUUCAAGCAAUUCUCCUGCCUCAACCUCCCAAGUAGCUGAGAUAACAGACACCCACCACCACGCCCGGCUAACUUUUUGUAUUUUUAGCAGAGACAGGGUUUUACCAUGUUGGCCAGGCUGGUCUCGAACUUCUGACCUCAGGUGAUCCACCUGCCUCAGCCUCCCAAAGUGCUGGGAUUACAGGCGUGAGCCACCAUGCCCGGCCCACGCAAUUUCUUUACUCUGCAAAAAUAUUUUUGGCUCAGUCCAUUCAUACAGUCCAGUUGCUCACAGACAGCGCCUCCUUCUCACUUUUCUCAGGAACCCGCUUCUCAACUCCUACCCGCCACUGUUUCUGGUUAGUAAGAGGGUGAGAUAAAAUAUGGAGAAUGCAUGGGGACCGCGAAGGGGGAGGUUUUGAAAUCGAUUAAAAAACUCGACCUGCGUUAGUAUUAGAUUUUUCCUUAUGUUUAAUUAAGUCUAAUUAAACAAUGCUGACAUCUUCUUGGCACCUGUGGUGCAAUGAUGUUAAAUAUUUAAUGCUUGUGAAGGAUUAGGCUACACUUCUAAUCUAUAGCUAACAAUCUGUUCCCUCUCUGGAGUAUUUUUUAUUUAGUUCUGCUUUUGUAUAAUGAGUUACAUUUCAAAGGAGAUUGUUAAAAACUUCAGCACCGAUGGGCCACGUUGUUGCCCAGCGGAUUGGAAGGAGAGGCGCCAUGCCACGCCACUUCUAUCUGGGCCAGUCCUCGGUGGUGGUUUCCUACAGAGAGAGAGAAGGCAAAGGUGAAAGUCACCAAGGGGCCUCUUCAGGGGCUUUUUCAGCCCCAUGGAGCCCGGUGACUAAGGACGCUGAACACAUGGACACAAGCUCACAUUGAAAACACCUCUCCAUGCUCUGCAGAUAUUUCCCUGAAUGUUCUCUGGCCCCCUUCUCCCUAACGGCUGUCAGUUGAAUAAUGAAAAAUUAUAUUUGUAUAUGUGUACAUCUUUUGUAUAUUGCAUAUUUGUAUAUUGUAUAUGUAUGUCUUAAAAUUGCAUGUCUUUACCCGCCUCCUCCAGCACACACCCACCCCUCUGCCUCUCAGAGAAAAUGAAGCCGUGCUAGAGAGAUGAGCACCUAUUUCAAAGAACUCGCUUCAAAAAAAAAGUCUGUGGCUAUUUCUGGAACUAGAAAUGCCGAGUAAGGCUGUUUGCAAAUUGUCAGGCUCAGCCUCUAAAGGAAACCCAGUCCCUCCUGAUUCAUCUUGGCCUGAAGUUGUUUCUGAUAGGAGAAAUUCAACUUGCUCUUCGCAUAUGCAACAAUCGGUACGAGACUCUCAAAACGGGAAGCCUGCUUUCAUUUCUCUGAUGAUUCCUAAUAUUUUGAAUAUGUUUAAGAACAAAAGACAGAUUCAUGUAAUGAGCUUCCAAUUGGCUGAAUCUGUGUAAUCAAUUUCUCAGGGUUUUUAAUUUUCUUCCCUCCUCCGCACAGCAUGGCGGCAGUAGAAACUUCUUACUCCUAAGUUGGAAAGAGGAUCCAGUAGCCUCUUUGGUUAAAUCAAUUGAACUUUUAAAAAUUUAAAUUAGCUCACUUAUACAAGUUCUGGUGGUGAUGAAUUAUCCUCAGGGUUUUUGGGCAGAGAUGAAAAUUA
rnacentral:lncRNA from 10 species